AUUGAACGCUGGCGGCAUGCCUUACACAUGCAAGUCGAACGGCAGCGGACCUUCGGGUGCCGGCGAGUGGCGAACGGGUGAGUAAUGCAUCGGAACGUACCUUUCAGUGGGGGAUAACGUAGCGAAAGUUACGCUAAUACCGCAUAUUCUGUGAGCAGGAAAGCAGGGGAUCGCAAGACCUUGCGCUGAUUGAGCGGCCGAUAUCAGAUUAGCUAGUUGGUGAGGUAAAGGCUCACCAAGGCGACGAUCUGUAGCGGGUCUGAGAGGAUGAUCCGCCACACUGGAACUGAGACACGGUCCAGACUCCUACGGGAGGCAGCAGUGGGGAAUUUUGGACAAUGGGGGCAACCCUGAUCCAGCCAUGCCGCGUGAGUGAAGAAGGCCUUCGGGUUGUAAAGCUCUUUCGUCCGGGAAGAAAUCGCAUCAGCUAAUACCUGGUGUGGAUGACGGUACCGGAAUAAGAAGCACCGGUUAACUACGUGCCAGCAGCCGCAGUAACAC
rnacentral:rRNA from 1 species